rnacentral:ncRNA from 1 species
UAGUUGGCUAAGAAGAGAAGAGUAAUUUUGAUUUAUUAUUUAAAGAGAGCUCCAGCUGGUGAAAAGGAGUAAUAAGAAUCUUAAUGAAAAAAGACUUGGAGCUUUCGCACGGAUCAAAGAAACACUCUUUGUGAUACUGCGACGGGAUCUCCCGUUAUAGAGAUAGGGUAUAACCAAUUUUUUAAUUGCCGUACCCGAAGAGGUUGAUAUGGCAACAUAUCAAUAAACUGGGGUGGUACCACGAAGUUAAUAAUAACUCUCGUCCUCAAG